rnacentral:rRNA from 1 species
AGAGUUUGAUCAUGGCUCAGGAUAAACGCUGGCGGCGUGCCUUAAACAUGCAAGUCGAACGGUACCUUCGGGUACAGUGGCAGACGGCUGAGUAACACGUAAGUAACCGCUCCUCAAGUGGGGAAUAACUGCGAGAAAUCGUAGCUAAUACCGCAUGUGGUAGAGAUCACACAAGUGGUUUCUAGUAAAGCAGUGAUGUGCUUGAGGGAGGGCUUGCGUCCGAUUAGCUAGUUGGUGGGGUAAAGGCCUACCAAGGCGAUGAUCGGUAGCUGGUCUGAGAGGAUGAUCAGCCAGACUGGGACUGAGAUACGGCCCAGACUCCUACGGGAGGCAGCAGUUAGGAAUUUUGGCAAUGGGCGAAAGCCUGACCCAGCAACGCCGCGUGAGUGAUGAAGGCCUUCGGGUCGUAAAGCUCUUUUCUGUGGGAAGAUAAUGACGGUACCACAGGAAUAAGCAUCGGCUAACUACGUGCCAGCAGCCGCGGUAAUACGUAGGAUGCAAGCGUUGUCCGGAUCUACUGGGCGUAAAGAGCGCGCAGGUGGUUUGAUAAGUUGGAUGUGAAAGCCCCUGGCUUAACUAGGGUAGGUCGUUCAAAACUAUCAGACUUGAGUGCAGCAGAGGAAAGUGGAAUUCCCCGUGUAGUGGUGAAAUGCGUAGAUAUCGGGAGGAACACCAGUGGCGAAAGCGGCUUUCUGGGCUGUAACUGACGCUGAGGCGCGAAAGCGUGGGGAGCGAACCGGAUUAGAUACCCGGGUAGUCCACGCCCUAAACGAUGGACACUAGGUGUAGGGGGUAUCGACCCCCCCUGUGCCGGAGCUAACGCAUUAAGUGCCCCGCCUGGGGAGUACGGCCGCAAGGCUAAAACUUAAAUGAAUUGACGG